rnacentral:tRNA from 1 species
GCGCCCGUAGUAAAAUGGAUAUUACAUCGGUUUCCGGAGCCGAAAGUGCAGGUUCGAUUCCUGCCGGGCGUA